rnacentral:lncRNA from 1 species
CAAAAUUUUCAAACUUCAAAUUGAUAACUCUAUGAUGACUUUAUAAAGUUGAAUCCUAUUUUUACAAAAGUCAGUGACAUGUUCACAACAUGGGUGGCUAACUAUGCAAUGUGGUCAGUAAUCUGCAAGAGUGUCAGUUCAUAAAACCAAUAUAACAUAACUGACCCAUCUCACCAAUGAACAUAUGAGUGCCAAUAGUUUGAGUUGUCUAGCUACUCAAUUUAUCUCGUGCUCAAGUGCUUAGUUAACUAUUGAGCUGUCUUCUGUCAAAAUUAAUAGCUUCUGUUUAGCUUAACUCAAACUUGAUCUAGAUUAGCAAAUGCCUUAAAAUGACCAAGCUAGAUUUUACCUGUUAUGAACUAUGAAUGGCUAAGACCAUUUUGCCUCCCUAUUCAUGUUUCGUGUCCUGCCCAGAAAUGAUAAUUGGCUUGAAGUUUUGUUUCUUUUGUCUUACUUUGUUGUAAUAUGCUUGUGUUUAUUGCUGAUAGUCUUUGAUUGAUGCAGGUUUGCAUUAUUUGGUGGUGCUCGCCCUCGUGAAGUGGUAAGCAAAUUUGCUUUAUCUAUACUGGGGAGGCCAGGGUCAAAAUUCGGAGAUUGGUUUUCAGACUGUCAAUAAAGAUAUGUCAUUUCUGGUUGACCAUUCACAUGUUUCUCUCUCUCUCUCUCUCUCUCUCUCUCUCUCCUCAGGUUCUGAAGGAGCGUGGAAUUGACAGUGCUGCAAUUAGUAACCAUAGCGUGGGUCAGCAGCCAGAUAGGUAAUGGAUGUCUUCUGCUCUUCUUCACUUUUAUGAUAUUUUCACUUGGUUGCUUCCUAUCAUUUGAUGAUAGAAUGAAAUUAAUUGUUUUUCCUGUCAUUUGCCGUAAUACGUGAAGGGUCAUGCUUAAUGUUUCCAAGAUUGAAAGAGUCCCUGAGCAUGCAGUUCCUAUUCGUCAUGGUGAAAGGACUGACAAUAUUCAUCCAGAUCAAAGGACAGGAAAGAAAAUUGAAAAGAAGGAUCAGAAAAUGGAUGUUGAGAGAGUUGAUAAACAGAGGAGGAAUUGGCGAAGUGAGAACUGGAGAAACAGCAGAGAGACUGAGAGGCAGCAGCAACCUCAAUUGCAGCAGGAGAGGCCUCCUUCACCAGAGACCUGGCGAAAACCAGUUGAACAACCAAAACCAGCCUCUCCUGAUGCUACUGGUCUGCGUUAUGGUAAAACAGCUUCAGCCUUGGAGCUUGCCCAAGCAUUCUCAAGGUCAUUCUCUGAUCCAAAAACAACUGAUAGAUAUUCUGGACAAAGAGGCCUCCCUGGCAAGACUCAAAUGCCCUUUUCACGGCUAACGGGCCCAACACCAAGGCAUCAAAUAAAUGGCUACUAAAUUUUGAGCGGUCUUAUGGCCAAUUAGGAAUCUGGUGUUAAGAAGAUUGUGCCUCUGAUAUUUAAGCCUUUGUUAGAUGCGAGCUGUUGCAAUCAUCUGUCACUCAGCGAAUGAGUUUGCACAAUUGAUGGCCAUUUGAAGUCUAGUGGAAUGCUCCAGCUUCUUCUGAUGCCAUCUUCACUUUGUAAACUCACGUCCUUUAUAACCUUUUUUCUUUUAAUCUCAAUAACUGUAUGCCUCCUUUUUUAGGAGAGAGUGAUAUUGGUUGCUUAUUUUUACAUUGAAAAUUUAGGCAUUUGUUUCAUGAGCGUUAAGCGGUUUGCGACGUUUUUGCUAAGCAUGAAGCAAUAGAACAACUCGUUUAAGGUCCUUUUUCGUAAAAAUGCUUUUAUUUUUUGGAGAAUAUUUUGUUAUUGAGAAACAACAGGUAUUGCUUAUGAGGAGGGGUUUCGUAGCGAUCUUAGUUUGAUUUGAGCUGGUAAUGGGUGAUUAUUUUGAUUUUGAUUCGAUCCAUAUUUGAUAAUAUAUAAAUAACAUGAUCUAUUAAGAUUGCGGCACUUGGACAUGUGAUUUAGAAAGAUUUUAUAAAUCGUUUGAUCCGAUUGGGUAGUAGGAACUCGAUCUAUGAGAUAUAAAAAUUAAAACAACACUUUUAACUCCUACAAAGUUCGAAACGGACGAACAGGGUUUUUCAAGACUUGGCCUUGGAUGCCAACCUGAUCAAUUAUAAGUGAUUAUGGGAGAUUUAUCUCAAUAUAAAUCGAGUAAGUCAAACACUACUUGAUGCGAUGAAGAUUGAAUGUUGAUCUUUUACGCAUUGUAUGUCUCCUUCAUAUGUCGUUGAGAUCAUAGAUGCACAUGCUAUAGAAUAGGUGACAUGACAUGGGCGAAAGGACGGGGCAUGAGUUAAUCGGUUCUGUAUUUAUUAGUUAACUGUUUACAAUUAAUGAGCCGUCUGAUACACUUGCUAAAGGAUGUCCCCAUCCAAUCUAAAGGGACGUAGGACAAGGGACGUAGGACGAGGAGUGUCAGGAUGAUCAUGAUAUAUAUAUACUUGUACCAACCCUAAUUCGACAUCACUUAACUUUUUUUGAAAACCUCACAUUAAAAUUACCUCCAAAAAACCUUUACUCACCCAAAUCAACGACUAGCUCUAUUAACUUUUUAAUUACCAAUCCCGAUUCAUUGAUUUCCUUGUGAUAUUAAAUUAUUGUCUAGGUGUAUUCAUUUGAUAAGCUCGUUGGAUAUUAGAUUAUCAAUUGGCACCGUCUAUGAAAAUAAAGGAGACCAUUCGCAUGGUAAAUCAAGAAAAGUUAAUAACAGUAACAUGAGAGACUGAAAGGAAAAGAGAUGGAGAAAAGACCAGAAAACCAUGGGCUAAAUCUAGAAGCCACACGGUAAAGGCCCAACAGAAGAAGGCGUGGAUGUGAGAAGGGAUACAAACACAAAAAUGGUCAAUUAAUUAUGGGAGAAAAGUGAUGUUGUGAUAUAAGUAAGCUAUACAGUACUUCUCUAGAUCGAGAAAUUUUGUUAUCAUUGUAACGAUCCAGAAUUUGGACCGCUACCGGCGCUAGGGUCCAGAUCGACUUAAGGUCGCCAGGACCCGUAGCAAGCCUAACAUACAUCUGUACACCUGUUAAAUCCCAUACAUGAUCAAACAUAAACAUACAAACUUUAAACUUUUCUUUCAUUUACCAAGCUUAACCUGUGCAUACUCAUAAUCAUACACAUAAACCUCACACUGGAACCCUCAUCAAAUGCUCCAAUGGGGUAACAUAACAUACAUUAAGCUUGGUUUACAUAAAACAUCAUUAACACAUUACAUAGAUCAUGUACCUACAAAGGGAUUAACCAUACAUACUAGGGUCAAGCACAAUUCUAAACCUCAAUAACAUUAUUACAUUACAUGACUGAUCAACACUAUACAUUACAUCAUAUUCUUUCUCAUGUCCACUUACUAACUAUUACAUAUAUAAAACCUUCCUACUCUAGCUGACUUCCCGGACUAUCUCGUACCUGCAAACCUGGGGUUUAAGGGAAUGGGGUGAGCUAAAAAGCCCAGUGAGUAGAACCAUAAAACAUUAUCAUAAAUCAUGCUUUCAUGGAAUGCGUCAUAACACAUACAAUUCACAUCAAGGAUGGACUUGUCACCAAUAACCCUCUCAAUCCAAUGUGCCCGGCCCUCGACGGAGCUCCGCAGGACUUCUAUAAUCAUCACAUAAUGCCAAGACGCAUGGACAUGGGCAGCCCUGGACUUUCAUUAAUCAUCAUACAUAAAUAAAUGCCAGGACGCGUGGACAUGGGCAGCCUUGGACUUUCAUUAAACAUCAGACAUAUUGAGGGCUAAGGGUUCAUCCAAAAUUCAUCCACAUCAACAGCAAUUUAUGCAAUGUAUCAUAUUCGUGAAUUCUAAUGCAAUACAACCUAAUAUAUAUACAUGGCAUUCAUGAUGCAUGAAACAUGCUAAAAACUUUCAUUAUUUAAAACAUAGUUCAGUUCUACUCACCUCUGGCUGACUCUGAUCUAAUCUGUAGCAACUGACUCACUGCUGGGCUCCUCGGUUCCUCGGGUCCGAUCCUACACAGGUGGACUCGAAUGAGGUGCCAAACAAACACUAGCAUAACUCUAAACAACUCCCUAAAACCCCCCCCAAAACACCUCAAAACAUUCAUGCAAAAUAGGCAAAGGAAGGCUGGACAGGGCACUUUCGGCGGCACUUUCGGCGGCACUUUAGGCGGCCGAACUCUUCUCCAGAUCCGAAAGUCAUGCACCUUUGGCGGCACCUUCGGCGGCCGAAAGUUCCCUCCAGAUACGAAAGUCAUGCAUGUUCGGCAGCAGGUUCGGCGGCCGAAAGUGCCCUCCAGAGCCGAAAGUCCAACUUUCGAAGGCAGGGUUCGGCAGCCGAAAGCUGCCUCCACAGGCAGGUUCGGCGGCCGAAAGUGCCUUCGGCUGCCGAACCUGAGUUCUUCCAGAAAUGGCAGAACUCAGCCAUUCUAUGCACAUUGCCUCCCAAACUUUUCCAAUCAUGCAUUUAGCUAUUCUACAACAUGCCUACACAUGCCAACAAGCACAUAGGGGUCUCAAACUAUCCUAAACCCCAACAACAACACAUAUAACAUACAUUAACCACAAACUCAACAUAAAUCCUAUCAACAACCAACCAACCCUAACAUGCAUUUCUACCCCCUAAACCAGCAUAAAACUUACUUAAAACAUACAAGAAGGGUAGGAUCUAAGCUUACAUCUUGAAGAUCGAGAGGAGAAACGAUCCUUAACUUAGAGGUAGGAGAAAUCUAGCUCCUUGGGUCUCCAAACUCCACAACUUGAUCUUAGUUUCAAAACUUCAAAAAAACAAGUAAACACUUGUUAAAACUUGAAAGAUUUGAGGAAAAUCAUCAAAACCAACCAUGGGAGGGCAUGGACUCACCUCUGGCCGGAAAUGGGGAGGAAAACUCACCCAUUUUCGGCCAUGGGGCUUCUUAUAGGUAGCUGGCCAGGCCACCUUCGGAAGCCAAAGGUGACUCCGAAACUCAUAUAUGUUUGGCGGCCGAACCUGGAUUUCCCUCUAUGGUUAUUUUCAUUCAAAACUCAAUUUCUUUCUUACUUAAAAUCAUAAAAUACAUAAAAACAUUUUAUAAAAACAUGAUUUUACCCUUCCAGAGGUUUCCGACAUCCGAGAUUUUACCUGACGGUAGGAAUUCCGAUACCGGAGUCUAGCCGGGUAUUACAUUCUCCCCCCCUUAAGAACAUUUGUCCCCGAAUGUUCACCAAACAACACAUGCCUAGCAUAAAACACCAAGAAGCACAUAAACCUAUAACACAUACCUUAAAAGAGAUGGGGGUAUUGCUGGAGCAUGGACUCCCGUGUCUCCCAAGUAUAUUCCUCGAUGUUGUGGUGAUUCCAAAGGACUUUAACCAUUGGAAUUUCCUUGUUUCUCAACUUUCUGAUCUGCGUGUCUAGAAUCCGCACUGGCUGUUCAACAUAGGUAAGAUCUUCUUGGAUCUCCACAUCAGGCUCACUAAGAACCUUAUCCGGAUCUGACACGAACUUCCUUAACAUGGAAACAUGGAAAACCGGAUGGAUUCCCUCCAUAGAAGCAAGUAAAUUCUGCUUAUACGAUACAUUCCCGAUCUUUUGCAAGAUUUCAAAGGGUCCGAUGUACCGUGGAGCUAGUUUACCUUUCUUCCCAAACCGAAUCACCCCUUUCAUAGGAGACACCUUGAGCAAUACCAAAUCCCCCUCCUGAAACUCCACCUGUCUCCUGUGGACAUCUGCAUAACUUUUCUGUCGACUGAUAGCAGUUCUGAUCCUCUCUCUGAUAAUGGGUACCAUUCUGCUGGUGAUCUUUACUAACUCUGGGCCUGCCAGGGCCCUCUCUCCUACUUCUUCCCAGCAAACAGGUGAUCUGCACUUCCUCCCAUACAAAGCUUCAUAUGGAGCCAUCCCUAUGCUAGCAUGAUAGCUGUUAUUGUAGGCAAACUCCACCAAAGGUAGAUGCUGCCUCCAAGAACCGCCAAAAUCUAGCACACACAUUCUGAGCAUAUCUUCAAUUGUUUGGAUGGUCCUCUCCGACUGUUCAUCAGUCUGAGGAUAGAAAGCAGUGCUAAAAUCCAAUCUGGUACCCAUGGCGGAGGAUCCCUUUACUGUUAAAUCUGAACUCAUCAUUCUUGCCUGACUGAACAGUCCUGGCAAUCUUCACUAACUCUGGGUCCUCGUGCUGUUUCUGAGCCACCUGCUUCAGAAACACAGGUGUCACUCUCAUCUGGGCUAUCAAAGCACCUGUACCAGACAACUCUAACUGCAGACCUUCAUUAAUAAGCUUAUGAAACUCUUUCACCACCGGUCUCCUCUCUGCUGUGAUAUGGGAUAGACUGCCAAGUGAUUUCCGGCUUAAGGCGUCUGCCACAACAUUCGCCUUACCUGGAUGAUACUGAAUCUUGCAAUCAUAGUCACUAAGCAGUUCUACCCAUCUUCUCUGUCUCAGGUUCAACUCUCUCUGACUCAGGAUGUACUGCAAGCUCUUAUGAUCUGUGAAGAUCUCACAUUUAACCCCAUAAAGGUAAUGCUUCCACAUCUUGAAUGCAAAGAUUACAGCUACCAUUUCUAGGUCAUGUGUAGGGUAAUUCAACUCAUGCUUCUUCAGCUGUCUAGAAGCAUAAGCAAUCACCCUUUCAUUCUGCAUCAACACAUAACCCAGUCCCACACGGGACGCAUCACAAAACAUUGCAAAAUCCUCAUUACUAUUAGGCAAAGCUAACACCGGUGCUGACGUCAACCUCUUCUUUAGCUCCUCAAAUCUCUCUUCACACUGAUCGGUCCAACUAAACUUCUGAUUCUUUCUGGUCAAUCUGGUCAUAGGAGUUGCAAUCUUAGAGAAGUCCUGAACGAACCUUCUGUAGUAACCUGCCAAACCCAGAAAGCUUUUGAUCUCUGUUACUGUAGUGGGUCUAGGCCAGUUAGCCACAGCUUCUACCUUCUUGGGGUCCACUUCGAUUCCAUUCUCUGACACAACAUGGCCCAAGAAUGAGAUGCUCCUCAACCAGAACUCACACUUGGAGAACUUGGCAUACAAGCCAUGUUCCCUCAAGGUCUGCAAAACUGUCCUCAGAUGAUGGGCAUGCUCCUUUGCAUUUCUGGAAUACACUAAGAUAUCAUCUAUGAAGACAAUAACAAAGUGAUCCAGAUACUGCCUGAAAACCCUGUUCAUAAGAUCCAUGAAUGCUGCAGGGGCAUUGGUUAAUCCGAACGGCAUCAUGACUCGCGGUUGUCGAAGCCGGUCAAAAAUAACCUUUCUGGUUAUCAACAAUUUACAACUGCAGAUAGUGGUGAAAGGAUCGAAUCCACAGAGAAUUGAGAACUCACCUAUUUCUCUUUUUAUGAUCAAGAAAAUAAACUGAAAUGAUAAUAAAUUAAAAAUGAGAUAAAAGACUGAAAGUGGGAUCAAAUGAGAUAAACUGAAAAUUGGGAUCAAAACUGUCAACAAAAUAACAGGGGGGUUUGAGAUUGAUUGUAGUAAACUAAUAAUGAGAAUAAUAAUGGAAAGCAAAUAAUCAAAUAAAAAGUAAUCAAUAAUGAGAAAGCUCUAGUUGAAGUAUUGGAUCCACUUUAGUUGUUGGGAUUGAUCACAGACACUAUGUUCUUUUGGGUUGACCCAAUAGAUUAGUUAUGGAGUUGGAAUAAGAUUCUCACUACCAUUAUCUCUCCUUAUUAUCAAAUUAAUUAGGGAACGUCCUCUAAUCAAUUACUAAUCAACAAGUUGCCAAGGAACGUCCUUGGACCUCAGGCAACAAACAACUGUUAAUUGCAUUAAGAAGUAGAGAGAUCUAAUCCUAGCUACCCAAACGUAUGGAGAUAACGCUAGAUCAUGCAACUUCCUUGAUUUUUAUGCCAAGUGUUCUUAUGUAAGAAUAAUCUAAGCAAUUACGGACUUAAAUCAUUCAAACUAACAAAUAAUUAUUUUCCGAUAAAAAAUCAACGUAGAUCUCAAUAACAAAGUAAUAUGAAAAUUAAGUAUGAAAUUGCAUGAAUAUUGAACUCCCAAAAGUUAAAGAAUAUUUGAUCAAGUCUCACAACCCAUUAAACAACUAAAGCUUCAACCAAUAUCCAACUAGAUUAAAGGAAUUCAGCCACUUAUGGUUGAAUUAAAAACAGAAAAUAAAAGGAAAAAGAAAAAAGGAGAACCGAUGAGAUUGAGAGGAAUUAGAAUCUGCCCUUUGCGCCAAGCCUUGCGAAAAUUGCCGAGAGGAGAGAAUUGGUUUUCUGGUGGCCACUUAAGAGUCUUUAAAUAGGAGGAGAGGAGUGUGCCUAGCUUCCAAUUGUGGUCCAUGUGCGGAUGAAUUUGAUGAAGUGCUGGCCAUGUGCGUGAAUUGAUGAGAUGCUUUGGUCCCGUGCAAGAUGGGCUGGUCUAUGUGCUGAGUGCUUUGGCGGGUCCGUGCGGAUCCCAUGUGCGUGAGAAUACGCUUGGCCCAUUGGCGUGAAGCGCUUGGUCCAUGUGCUUGGCCCAUUUGCGUGAAUGUGUGGAUCCAUGUGUAACGACCCGAAAAUCGGACCGCUACUGGCGCUAGGAUCCAGGUCGGCAUAAGGCCGUCGAGACCCGUAGCAAGCCUAACAUUCAUCCUGUGAACCUGUUUAAUCCCAUACAUGAUCAACAACAUACAUAAAAAUUUUGAACUUUUCUUUCAUUCCUUUACCAAACUCAACCUGUGCAUGCACUAUACAUAAACAUAACCAUAAACAUUGGCCCCUCUUUGGAAUCUCAUCAAUGCCCCAAUGGGUGACAUAACAUGUGUUGAGUUGGUUUACAUAAACAUCAUAAAACAUCUAAGAUCAUGUAUUAAAAGGGAUAACAACAUUCUAUGGUCAAGCAUACCUUUAACGUCCAUGAACAUCAUUACAUUACAUUUCUAUACUGUACUUAUACAUGAUUGUACUAAACAUAACAUCUCAACAUUAUUCAUGUCCACACUAUCUAUUACAUAACCAAGACUUCAUUACUCUUGCUGACCUCCUGGUCUACCCUGUACCUGCAAACCUGGGGGUUAAGGGAGAGGGGUGAGCUAUAAAGCCCAGUGAGCAGAAUAAUAAAACAUUUAAAACAUAUGAUAACAUGAAAUGCAUCACAUCACAAUCAUAUCACAUCAAGGAUGAAUUUGUCACCCAUAGCCCUCAAAGUGGUCCAACUGUGCCAGGGGAGUAGAAUGGGCCUCACUGGUCUUUCUUUUAUAUAACAUAUCAUAACAUAACAUUCCAACUGUGCCAGGGGCGUAGAAUGGGCCUCGCUGGUCUUUCUCUCACAUAGUGCCAGGGGCAUAGAAUGGGCCUCACUGGUCUUCCGUACCGUAUCAUAUCAUACCAUAUCAUAUCCUGGGAGGGCUAAAGGAUCAUUCAACAUUCAUCCACAUCAUCAACAUAUUAUGCAAUGCAACAUAUUCGUGAAUUCUAAUGCAAACAACCUAAUAUAUCUCAUGGUAUUCAUGAUGCGUGAAUCAUGCUAAGAAUUAAUUUAUUUACUUAAAAACAUAAAGAGUUUAUUCCACUCACCUCUGGCUGAAGCUCUACUGACUCUGAGGUGACAGACUCACUGCUGGGGUCCUCGGUUCCUCGGGUCCGAACCUACACAGGUGGACUCAAAUGAGGGACCAAACAUCUAUGAUCAAGACUCUGAAAUACUCCCCAAAAACCCCUUAAAACAAUCAUAGGAAACAUGCAAAGGAAGGCUGAACAGGGCACUUUCGGCGGCAGGUUCGGCGGCCGAAAGUCCCUCCAGAGCCGAAAGUCAGACAGGUUCGGCGGCACCUUCGGCGACCGAAACUCCCAGACAGAGACGAAACUCAUGCAUGUUCGGCGGCACUUUCGGCGGCCGAAACUGCCCUCCAGAGACGAAAGUCCUCUUUCGGGGCAGGCUUCGGCAGCCGAAGGCUACCUCCACAAGCGGGUUCGGCGGCCGAAAGUCCAUUCGGCAGCCGAACCUGAGUUUCUCCAAAGUGGCAGAAACGCAACUCCAACAUGCACAAACGCCUCCCAAACCUUUCAAACAUGCAUAAACCUUAUCUACAACAUGCAUACUCAAGCAUACAAGCUCCUAGGGGCUUCAAACUAUCUUAAACCCCAACUACAACACAUCAAGUAACCUCAAACAUCAUAUAUUGCUCAAAAACUUAACAUAACCCAUAAAACCAACCAAAACCUAAACAUGCAUUUCUACCCCAUAGAUCAACUUAAAACUUGUUCAAAACAUAUCGUGAGCUCAAGAUCGGCCCUUACCUCUUGAAGAUCGAGAGGAAAAUGACCCUAGCUCAGAGAUGGAAGAGAUUGAGUUUCUUGAACCUCAAAACUCCAAAAAUUGCUUUAAGUUCGAAAAUCUUCAAAACAAAGUGAAAACUUGUGAAAAUCGUGAAAGAUUUGAAGGAAGAAACUCAAGAUCGGUGAGGGACGGCGGAGAGCUCACCUUGGCCGAAAAUGGGGAGAAAAGCUCGCCCGUUUUCGGCUAAGAGACCCCUUUAUAGGUGGCUGGCCAGACCACAUUUGGGAGCCGAACGUGCCUCCGCAUGCAUGCCAUGUUCGGCGGCCGAACCUGGUUUCCCUCACUUAUGCCUUCGGGGGCCUAAGGCACACCCGAAACACAUGCAUGUUCGGCGGCCGAACCUGCAUCUUCCUCCAAGGCUAUUUCCAUUAAAAUUCAACUUCCUUUUUAUUUAAAAUCAUAAAAUACAUUAAAACAUUUUAUAAAAACAUGGUUUUUGCCUUCUAGAGGUUUCCGACAUCCGAGAUCCCACCGGAUGGUAGGGAUUCCGAUACCGGAGUCUAGCCGGGUAUUACACCAUGUGCUUGACCUGGUCCACGUGAGGUGCUUGAUCCAUGUGUGGGAAUGGGCUAUCCGUGAUUGCAAAGUCGCUUGAAUAUUUAAAUUUUAAAAUAUUUUCCUCAUUUAGCUUAACUUGAAUCCAACUUGGCAGGCUUGCUAUCUUUUGCUCCAAAUAAGGCAGUUUUAGGGGGAUUUUCUCCAAAUUGUCCUUUUACACCAUUUUCUGCAAAAUAAUAUUAAAAGCACUAAAUUAAGCAGAAAUCAUGUAAAUAUUUAUCAAUAAUAUUAAUAUAAAUUGGACUAAAUUAUGCUCUAUCACAUCACUAGGAACUCAUAGUGCCCAUACUUGGUCCUGAAUGCCGUCUUCGGCACAUCCUCUUCUCUUAUUCUCAACUGGUGGUACCCAGAUCUCAUAUCUAUCUUGGAGAAACAACCCGCUCCUACUAGCUAGUCAAAUAGAUCAUCAAUCCUAGGCAACGGAUACUUGUUCUUGGUAGUGACUUUGUUCAACUGCCUGUAGUCGAUACAAAGCCUGAGGGAUCCAUCCUUCUUCCUCACAAACAACAUUGGAGCUCCCCAAGGUGAGGUACUCGGUCGGAUGAAACCCUUAUCUACCAGCUCUUGCAACUGCUCCUUAAGCUCCUUCAACUCUGCUGGUGCCAUCCUGUAGGGAGGAAUAGUGAUUGGUCUGGUUCCAGGCAUCAAUUCUAUUUCGAACUCUAUCUCCCUAGUAGGUGGUAGUCCUGAAAGUUCAUCUGGGAAGACAUCUGAAAACUCUCUGACCACGGGCACGGAGGUGGGCUCCCUAACCUAACUAUUAAGCUCUCUCACAUGAGCCAAAUACCCCUGACAUCCCCUCCUAAGCAACCUACGAGCCUAAAGAGCUGAUAUCAGACCUCUAGGUGUAUCCCUCUUGUCUCAUCUGAAGAUGACCUCUGACCCACCCUGAUCUCUGAACCUGACUACCUUGUCCCUGCAGUCCAAGGUAGCACCAUGGGUAGAUAGCCAAUCCAUCCCUAGAAUGAUGUCAAAAUCUGUCAAAUCUAGAACCACUAGGUCGGCUGGAAGGCACCUAUCCUCAACGAACACAGGACUAAAUCGGCAGACUGUCUCUGCCACUGAUGGGUCACACUUGGGUCCACUGACCCAUAGGGGACACUCUAAUCCAGAGAUCAUGAAUCCCAACCUCUCAACUGCUCUCGGAGCAACAAAAGAAUGAGAUGCACUGGGGUCCAUUAAUGCAUACACAUCAGAACAACCAAUGAUGAGAUUACCUGACACCACGGUGUUGGAUGUGUUCGCCUCUUGCUGGGUCAUUGUGAAGAUCCGUGCUGGAGCUGAUGGACCUGCACCAUAGGAACCUGCUGAAGAAGAGACUGCCCCUCUCCCCCUGCCUCUGCCACUGCCCUGAGUCGUGGCUGGAGCUACUGGUUGGGCUACACUACCAGAACCCGUCUGCUGGGACUGUGCCCCUGAAUUUGCUCUAGGGCACUCCCGAGCCAUGUGCCCCUCUUGUCCACAUCUGAAACAUGCAGUCGUCCCAGCCCGGCAAAUUCCUUUGUGUGGCUUACCACACUUCAUACAACCAUGACUGCCCAAACCAGAACUUGAGCCACCUCCCAUUCCCAGACUGGACUUUAUCUUAUUCCAGAACUUGCUCUUCUUGGACUUGGAUCUGUCCAUCCUUACAUUGCUUGGUGUCUUGGAACCUGAAGGCUGUGCCACUGACUGUUUAACUCUCCCUUCGAUUAUUGCACUGGCCUCCAUCUUCUGGGCCAUAUCCACUAUGGCAUGGAAGCUCUCCCUUUCUGCGGAUUGAAUUAAGGAGGAAUACCUGGAAUGAAGCUUCAUACUAUACCUCAUUGCCUUCUUCUGAUUUGUGUUAAAGGUUUGCCCUGCGAACGGCAACAGCUCCAAGAACUUGUCUGUAAACUCCUCCACACUCAUCUCAUCGGUCUGCCUCAAUUGUUCAAAUUCUAUCAUCUUCAAUUCCCUUGAGCUGUCAGGGAAAGCCCAUCCUGCAAACUCAUUUGCAAACUCCUCCCAUGAAAGACUAUCUAACCUCGGGUUCACAUAAUUCUUGAACCAAUCUUUGGCUUUCUUACAUUUUAAUGUGAACCCAGCCAUCUGAAUGGCUCUGCUGUCAUCUGCCCCAACUCAUCUGAAAUCAUCUUGACCAUCCUGAGGUACUCAAAUGGAUCAUCGCCUGUUUCAUACUAGGGAGCACCCAACUUUAAGUAAUCAGUCAUCUUGACCUUGCUCCCCCCAGAUGAGCUAGGUUUAGGUACUUGGGCUUCUGGGACCAUGAGUUCUGCUGGUGGUGGAGGAGGUGCAACAUCCCCUGGGUUAGGGUUUGCUGCACCCGGAUAAAAGGAUGGGGUGGGUACAUAGGGUAUUGUGGAUAUGGUGGGUAGAAAGGUGGGUAUGGCAUGUAAGAUGGGUAAAUGUUAAAACUGGGGUAAUCCGAUCUACCUCCCAUCGAAUACCCGGGAUUAUGUGAAAAGGGUGGGUAUUGGGGUGGCUGAACAAACCUCGAGGCUUGAGUGCCUCCCUAAGACUCUCCCAUGCCCUCUUCAGACAUGCUUACACCAAGACUGCCAUCCCUCCUCUGAUCCACAUCCAUAUCAUCCCCCUCAGCCGAAACUCCACCCUGCACUGUUCCUCUUUUGCUUGGAUCAAAAGACCUUCUAGGGUCCCUCGACACUCUUUCCCUACUAGACCUACAUGACAUUGCCCUAGGCAAUGCGGGAGGAUGGACAUCCAUGCCCUCAUCCUGGGGUGGUACUCUAGUCAAUCGUGCAGAUCGACGAGUUCCUCUCAUCCGUCUUCUGAAAAAAAAACAGCACACAUCUCAUAAACAUUAGCAUCAUCUGGUUCAUGUGAAACACAUGAACCCGCAUCACAUACAUAGCAUAACAUUAAUGCACAUGCAUACUAUCAUGGCAUUUCACAUCAUCAUACAAGACAGGACUCCACAUCCUAUCCUAGUGGACAUGAUCUUUCCUAUUGUGCUUGCCCUUCUAUAACCUCUAUGAGCCCAACACACUAUAGGUCCGACCAUAUGAACCUAGGGCUCUGAUACCAUUCUGUAACGACCCGGAAUUCGGACCGCUAUCGGCGCUAGGGUCCAGAUCGACUUAAGGUCGCCGGGACCCGUAGCAAGCCUAACAUACAUCCUGUACACCUGUUAAAUCCCAUAUAUGAUCAAACAUAAACAUACAAACUUUAAACUUUUCUUUCAUUUACCAAGCUUAACCUGUGCAUACUCGUAAUCAUACACAUAAACCUCACACUGGAGCCCUCAUCAAAUGCUCCAAUGGGGUAACAGAACAUACAUUAAGCUUGGUUUACAUAAAACAUCAUUAACACAUUACAUAGAUCAUGUACCUACAAAGGGAUUAACCAUACAUACUAGGGUCAAGCACAAUUCUAAACCUCAAUAACAUUAUUACAUUACAUGACUGAUCAACACUAUACAUUACAUCAUAUUCUUUCUCAUGUCCAUUUACUAACUAUUACAUAUAUAAAACCUUCCUACUCUAGCUGACUUCCUGGACUGUCUCGUACCUGUAAACCUGGGGUUUAAGGGAAUGGGGUGAGCUAAAAAGCCCAGUGAACAGAACCAUAAAACAUUAUCAUAAAUCAUGCUUUCAUGCAAUGCGUCAUAACACAUACAAUUCACAUCAAGGAUGGACUUGUCACCAAUAACCCUCUCAAUCCAAUGUGCCCGGCCCUCGAUGGAGCUCCGCAGGACUUCUAUAAUCAUCACAUAAUGCCAAGACGUAUGGACAUGGGCAGCCCUGGACUUUCAUUAAUCAUCAUACAUAAAUAAAUGCCAGGACGCGUGGACAUGGGCAGCCUUGGACUUUUACUAAACAUCAGACAUAUUGAGGGCUAAGGGUUCAUCCAAAAUCCAUCCACAUCAACAGCAAUUUAUGCAAUGUAUCAUAUUCGUGAAUUCUAAUGCAACACAACCUAAUAUAUAUACAUGGCAUUCAUGAUGCAUGAAACAUGCUAAAAACUUUCAUUAUUUAAAACAUAGUUCAGUUCUACUCACCUCUGGCUGACUCUAAUCUAAUCUGUAGCAGCUGACUCACUGUUGGGCUCCUCGGUUCCUCGGGUCCGAUCCUACACAGGUGGACUCGAAUGAGGUGCCAAACAAACACUAGCAUAACUCUAAACAACUCCCCAAAAACCCCCCAAAACACCUCAAAACAUUCAUGCAAAACAGGCAAAGGAAGGCUGGACAGGGCACUUUCGGCGGCACCUUCGGCGGCUGAACCCUCCUCCAGAUCCGAAAGUCAUGCACCUUCAGUGGCACCUUCGGCGGCCGAAAGUUCCCUCCAGAUCCGAAAGUCAUGCAUGUUCGGCGGCAGAUUCGGCGGUCGAAACUGCCCUCUAGAGCCAAAAGUCCAACUUUUGGGGGCAGGGUUCGGCAGCCGAAAGCUGCCUCCACAGGCAGGUUCGGCGGCCGAAAGUGCCUUCGGCUGCCGAACCUGAGUUCUUCUAGAAAUGGCAGAACUCAGCCAUUCUAUGCACAUUGCCUCCCAAACUUUUCCAAUCAUGCAUUUAGCUAUUCUACAACAUGCCUACACAUGCCAACAAGCACAUAGGGGUCUCAAACUAUUCUAAACCCCAACAACAACACAUAUAACAUACAUUAACCACAAACUCAACAUAAAUCCUAUCAACAACCAACCAACCCUAACAUGCAUUUCUACCCCUUAAACCAGCAUAAAACUUGCUUAAAACAUACAAGAAGGGUAGGAUCUAAGCUUACUUCUUGAAGAUCGAGAGGAGAAAUGAUCCUUAACUUGGAGGUAGGAGAAAUCUAGCUCCUUGAUAAGCGGUUGUGGAAGCCGUCAAAAAUAAACCUAUUAAACAAUCAACAAUUAACUUGCAGAUAGUGGCAAUAGGGUCGAAUCCACAGGGAAUUGAUACUUACUUAUUUUCCUUGUCAAGACCAAGUAAGGAAACAAACAAUAAAAGUAAAAUGGGGGUUUUGAGGUUUGAUAAACUAAACUAAUAUUGAAAGCAAUAGAGAAAAGCAAAUAAUUAAAGUAGAGAAAUUCAAUAAUGAGAAAGGCCUAGUUUAAGAGUUGGAUCCACUUUAGUUGUUGGGAUUGAUCAUUGAAACUUAUAUUCUCUUAUUUAACUCAAUAAAUUAGUUAUGGAGGUGGAAGACGCUUCUCACCAACCAUAUCCCUCCUUAAGCAUAGAUUAAUUAGGGAACGUCCUCUAAUUAAUCACUAAUCAACAAGUUGCCAUGGAACGUCCUUGGGCCUUUGGCAUCUAACAACUGUUAAUUGCAUUAAGAAAUAGAGAGACCUAAUUCUAGCUACCCAAACGUAUGGUGAUAUUGCUAGAUUAUGCGAUUUCCUAGGUUUUUAUACCAAGGGUUACUUGUGUUUGAAUAAUUCCAGCAAUUACGGACUAAAAAUUAUCCAAACUAACAAAGAAUUACUNNNNNNNNNNNNNNNNNNNNNNNNNNNNNNNNNNNNNNNNNNNNNNNNNNNNNNNNNNNNNNNNNNNNNNNNNNNNNNNNNNNNNNNNNNNNNNNNNNNNNNNNNNNNNNNNNNNNNNNNNNNNNNNNNNNNNNNNNNNNNNNNNNNNNNNNNNNNNNNNNNNNNNNNNNNNNNNNNNNNNNNNNNNNNNNNNNNNNNNNNNNNNNNNNNNNNNNNNNNNNNNNNNNNNNNNNNNNNNNNNNNNNNNNNNNNNNNNNNNNNNNNNNNNNNNNNNNNNNNNNNNNNNNNNNNNNNNNNNNNNNNNNNNNNNNNNNNNNNNNNNNNNNNNNNNNNNNNNNNNNNNNNNNNNNNNNNNNNNNNNNNNNNNNNNNNNNNNNNNNNNNNNNNNNNNNNNNNNNNNNNNNNNNNNNNNNNNNNNNNNNNNNNNNNNNNNNNNNNNNNNNNNNNNNNNNNNNNNNNNNNNNNNNNNNNNNNNNNNNNNNNNNNNNNNNNNNNNNNNNNNNNNNNNNNNNNNNNNNNNNNNNNNNNNNNNNNNNNNNNNNNNNNNNNNNNNNNNNNNNNNNNNNNNNNNNNNNNNNNNNNNNNNNNNNNNNNNNNNNNNNNNNNNNNNNNNNNNNNNNNNNNNNNNNNNNNNNNNNNNNNNNNNNNNNNNNNNNNNNNNNNNNNNNNNNNNNNNNNNNNNNNNNNNNNNNNNNNNNNNNNNNNNNACAUUCUAACUAUUACAACUCAAGACUUCAUUCACCUUGACUUCUCUGUCUAGCCUGUACCUGCAACCCUGGGGGAUUAGGGAAAAGGGGUGAGCUACUAGAGCCCAGUGAGCAGAAUAAUAAAACAUUUAAAUCAUAUGCUAUAAUGGAAUGCAACACAUCACAGACAAAUCACAUCACGGAUGAUAUUGUCACCAAGAGUCCUCUACAUUCCAAAGUGUCGGGAUGUAGAAUGGGUCAACCGGUCUUUCUCUUAACAUAACAUAACAUAACAUUCCAAUAUGCCAGGGACGUAGAAUGGGUACAACCUGGACUUUCUCUUACAUAGUGCCAGGGACGUAGAAUGGGUACAACCUGGACUUCCGUACCAUACCGUAUCAUAUCACAUCGCAUCAUAUCGAGGACUAAGGAUCAUCCAAUAACCAUCCACAUCAUCAUCAAAUUAUGCAAUGCAACAUAUUCGUGAAUUCUAAUGCAAACAACCUAGAAUAUCACAUAUCAUUCGUGAUGCAUGAACAUGCUCAAAUUUAUAUUGAUUUGCGUUAAAACAUAAGUGUUUAUUCUACUCACCUCAACUAGCUCUGACAAUGACUGAAGCAGCUGACUCACUGCUGGGGUCCUCGGUUCCUCGGGUUCGAACCUACACAGGUGGACUCAAAUGAGGGACCAAACAACUAGAACAUAACUCUAAAAACAUCCCCUAAAAACCCUCUAAAACACCUCAAAACAUCCAUGCAAAAACAUGCAAAGGAAGGCUGAACAGGGCACUUUCGGCGGCCGGUUCGGCGGCCGAAAGUCCCUCCAGAGCCAAAAGUCAGGCAGGUUCGGCGGCCGAAACUCCCAGACAGAGAAGAAACUCAUGCAUGUUCGGCGGCACUUUCGGCGGCCGAAACUGCCCUCCAGAGACGAAAGUCCUCUUUUGGGGACAGGCUUCGGCAGCCGAAAGGCUGGCCUCCCAGGCAGGUUCGGCGGCCGAAAGUCCUUUGGCUGCCAAACCUGGUUUCUGCCAAAGGGCAGAAACUUGGUUCCUCACGCACAUUUGCCUCCCAAAACCAUCUAAACAUGCAUUUUUCCUAAUCUACAACAUACAUACUCAAGCAUACAAGUUCCUAGGGGCUUUAAACUAUCUUAAACCCCAUCUACAACACAUCAAACAUCCACAUUGUCCAAAAACAUAACUUGAACCCAUAAACCUAACCAUAAGCUAAACAUGCAUUCUACCCCAUAGAUCUACUUAAAACUUACUUAAAACAUGCCAUAAGCUCAAGAUCGGCCCUUACCUCUUGAAGAUCGAGAGGAGAACGACCCUAGCUCGGAAAAUGGGAGAGAGAGAGUUCCUUGAACCUCCAAGCUCCAAAACUUGCUCAAAUGUUCAAAACCUUCAAAAAAAGGGUAAAACUAAUGAAAAUCGAGAAAGAUUUGAAGGAAGGAACUCAAAACCGGCGAGGGAUGGCGGAGAGCUCACCUUGGCCGAAAAUGGGAAGAAAAGCUUGCCCGUUUUCGGCUAAGGGACCCCUUUAUAGGUGGCUGGCCAGGCCACGUUCGGGAGCCGAAAGUGCCUCCGCAUGCAUGCUAUGUUCGGCGGCCGAACUUGAGGUUCGGCGGUCGAACCUGGACUUCCCUCACUUAUGCUUUCGGGGGCCUAAAGCACUCCCGAAGUGCAUGCAUGUUCUGCGACCGAACCUGAGUUUUCCUCCAAGGUUGUUUUCAUGCAAAAACUCAUUUUCUUUCAUGCUUAAAACAUAAAACACAUUAAAACAGUUUAUGAAAACAUAGUUUUACCCUUCUAGAGGUCUCCGACACCCGAGAUUCCACCGGACGGUAGGAAUUUCGAUACCGGAGUCUAGCCGGGUAUUACAUUCUCCCCCCCCUUAAGAACAUUCGUCCCCGAAUGUUCACCAACUAACACAUAGCAUGGCAUAAACAAAACAUACACAUAAAACACAUAAGAGACUAACCUUAGAAAACAUAAGGGUAUUGCUGGAGCAUGGACUCCCGUGUCUCCCAAGUGCACUCUUCCAUAUUGUGGUGGUUCCACAGGACUUUCACCAUCAGAAUUUCCUUGUUUCUUAGCUUCUUGAUCUAGGUGUCUAUGAUCCGUACUGACUGCUCAACAUAGGUGAGAUCCUCUUGGAUCUCCACAUCAGGUUCACUAAGAACCUUGCCCGGAUCUGACACGAACUUCCUCAACAUGGAAACAUGGAAAACCGGAUGGAUUCUCUCCAUUAAAGCAGGUAAAUCCAGCUUGUACGACACAUUCCCAAUCUUUUGCAAGAUUUCAAAGGGUCCGAUGUAUCGUGGGGCUAGUUUACCUUUCUUCCCAAAGCGAACCACUCCUUUCAUAGGAGACACCUUGAGCAAUACCAGAUCCCCCUCCUGAAACUCUACCUGUCUUCUGCGGAUGUCUGCAUAACUCUUUUGUCU